UCUUGAGUGCAAGGUAGGAAUUUUCUUUAAGUUGGCGGUUUGAUAUGUGGUAUAGUAAAUUUUGAUUGCAAAAUGGUUUCAAUAAGAAGUGUAGAAUCAUGAUCAAAAGGGAUUGCAAAGGCAAUUGGUAUUAUUUUUUUUAAAGGUGGAUAUUCAAGGACUAUAUUAGUUGAUGCAAUAGAAUCAAAAUCCUAUGGAGAUAUAGCUAUUGUAUUAAAUUUUUUAGAUUGACAUAUUUCUAUUAAGUCUAAGAUUGGUAAAAGUGUAAGUUGGUUGAUUUUUAGAAGCCAUGACACAAUGUUAUUUUUAUUAAAGCAAAUAUUACAAUGUCAUGUGAUAAUAAAAUUAUAUGGUAAAAAGUAAAAAUAUGGAUGUUAUUAUUGAAGAGCAUAAUAAAAAUAUGUAAUAAAAAAUAAUAAAAAUAAUAAAAAAUUAAUUAAAAAUUAUUUUAAUAUUAUUUUUUAUAGAAAGGACUUCUAUUUAUUUUGUAGGAACAUAAAAGCCUCAAAUCAAAAUAAAUGACAUGAGCAAAAAAUAUAGACAUCUUUAAAAAAGAAUUAAUAAUGGAUUUAAACAAAGUUAUCACAAAUUACCAAAAAUUUAUAAUUAAAAAGGACUAGUUGUGAAUCUAGAUCAAAAUUAGACUCCAAGGAACAAAACCAUGUAUAUACAAUAA
rnacentral:lncRNA from 1 species